AGCAAACGGAUAACCGUGGUAAGCUACGGCUAAGACGUGGACGCGCUGCGCGGGGGUGAGGCCGGCGCAGCGGACAGGACACGGCCGCGGCUAAGUUUCUGGCCUAUCAGCUAUUGGAAGGUAGGGUAAGGGCCUACCUUGGCGAUGACGGGUGACGGGGGAUGAGAGUCCGAUUCCGGAGAGGGAGCCUGAGAAACAGCUCCCACGUCUAAGGAUGGCAGCAGGCGCGAAACUUACCCAAUCUGCGGGAGGUAGUGAAGAGACGUGGGCACGAGGCCGCACACCAAAGACGUGCGGGCCCGACUGGAGGGCAAGUCUGGUGCCA
rnacentral:rRNA from 1 species